UAUUCACCUUUUAACCAAAAUUUUACUCCCUCCUCAACAAUUUUUUGUUUACCCCUUCGAUACAUUCUUAUCUCUUAUCUCUAUCACCACUCUCUCUAUCGUCUCGACUACCCCCUCUCGCUCUCUCUCUUGAUUCUCUCUUUCACAGCUCUCUCUGUCAAGAACACAUAUGCUAUUAGCUUUCUCUUGCUGCUCACCGCCCCGGCUUUCCUCACCGCUGCACACCUCUGCUCUUCUCACCGCUUUGCUCUACUCUCUGCCUUUACGUUUAGCUCUCUCCACUCGGCUCUCUCUCUAUUUCAGUUAAGUUUCUCUCUUCUCUUAUUAAUAUUAGAAAGUGGAAUUGAUCUUUGCUUCUUAUAAAUCGGGCCCUAGUUUUUUAAAUCAAAACCCUAGUUCUUCUUUGUUGUGUGUUGGGGUAGAUAGCGGUUAUCUAGUAAGUAUCGGUUGGGAUGCUAAUUGGGAGAUCAGUUGGUGUGGAAUGAUCUAAUGUUUAGUUUAAUUUUAUGUUGUUGACAUCCAGGUGCUAAAAAAAUUGGCGAGGAGUAGUUUUUCGGUUACAAUCUGGAUUCUGCAGACCUGGGUUAUGUUUUGUUGGCUGUUUUUAGAGUCAGGCUAUUGUAUUCUCUGUCUUACAAUAUGUUAAUUACUUUUUAUGCUGUAUUUUUAUAUGUGUUGCUUAAAUUUGUGAAGGUCUGGCCAAAUCUGAGGAUUGUGGGUGGUUCCGAUCUUUACAUUGUUAUGAAAAGUUGGUUUUUUACCAGCUAGUGCUUUUCUGGAUUAUACCAUUGUCAUAUGUUAAUUAAUGUUGCUAUCUACUGAUUUUUGUUGCAUAAUUUUGCGAGGACGUGGUAUUAUUUCAGUAUUCCUCAGAAAAAUAACUUUGGUUUUAGUUUCUUCUAUUGCUGCAAUUGUUCGAUUCCUGUUCCUGUGCCAAAGAAAGACGAGGUGUUACUCAGCGUGAAAGCAACAAGCAUUAAUCCAUUUGAUUGGAAGAUGCAGAAAGGGAUGUUGCGCCCUUUUUUGCCACUCCGGUUUCCUAAAGUGCCAUUAGGCUAUGUAGCAGGAAGUACAUAUGAGUUUUGAUUAAUAACUGCACAAAGCCAUUGGUGCAUUUCGAUCAGCUGUUGAUGGUGCUGGCUUACCUGUAGCAGGUCUUACUGCUCAUUCUGCUGGAGUUAAGCUUGAUGCUAGUGGUCCUCGAUCAAAUAUUGUCAUUACUGCUGCUUCAGGAGGUGUUGGCUUGUAUGUUGUUCAACUUGCAAAGCAUGGAAAGAAGGAAUCCCUUUCUUCUUUAGUUUUAGUGUCUUAAUAGUUUGGUAUAUUUUUGUUAAAUGAUGUAGUAAGUAACAUUGCUCGAUUUAUGUAUAUGAUUUUGUGGAUUGAAUUUAUAGAUUUGUAUUGGUGGUUUU